GAGUUCUCUUAUAAAAAACAGUGUGUAAUCUUCAUUUUUUCAAUCAAUACAAAAUCCUAUUUCUCUCUCUCUAAAACUCUCUCUAAUGUCUCUAUGUUCAUCCCUUUGCUCAUCCUUUCUUCUUGACUUUCCCUUCAAUUCCCAAACAUUGCAAUAUAGUUAACAUGGUAUCAGAGCCAGCAGGCUGAAGCCAUUGAUUCUGGUGGUUUGUAUUUUUUUUUAUUAGAUUUCAUUUUUCUAGUUUUAUUUUCUCUUCAGAUUUUGUUGAAUUUUUCGUCAAGUUCUUUGGUGUUUCCUUUUUCUUUCUGAUCCCCGAAUUGGAGAAGGAAGCAAAAUUAAUUUCUUACUCAGUUUUUGUUGAUGCGAAUCGGCUGAGAAGGAGCGUUGUUUUGAAGAUCCUUGGUGCCACUAGUGUGUUCCAGGCGGCUCUGUUUCUUGAAGGGGUCCAUACACUCGGGAAGUAGAAUCGCUUGGCGAUUUGAUAUGGGUUCAUUUUUUUUUUUAAGAGAAAUUGCAACCCAGAUGACAGCAUCAACAACUUAAUCCACACAGAGAUUGAAUUCAAGUUCCAGAGAGAUGAAGCUUUUGAUCAUUCCAAACUGGGUUUUGGAAGUUCGAUCAGAAUCCAUCACAUGGGCUCUCAACGAACAACAAAUGCUCAGUCGCAUGUGUUAUUUCAUACUAAACUUUGUUCUUGCCGGGUUCCAAAAGCAAGAUGUUUCUAGAAGAUUACCUUAUCUUCAUUCAGUCCAACUCUCACCUCCAUCUCACCGUCGCUUAUCUCAAUCAAAUCAUUCACAUGCACGAAUACAAGAAGAUCUACAAAGUUCCCAAGAAAUGUUUAAGCGAUGCCAUGAGUUUGCCGUCAUUUGACUGACUUCUGCUAAUUUGUGAUUGAAACGGAGGUGAAGAUCUUCGUUCAUAUCUUUUCUAGUUCAGGUACAGAUUCAAGGUUCGCAGAAUUGUCAAGUUUGUUCAUAUUUUGCACUCUAUGCGUUUGAUGGAGUGUCGCAGUCAAAGUUCUUUGCUUCAAAUUGCAUAAUUGUUAGAGGUCGAUAGGCAUUUCCUUUUUACGUCCCACUUUAGAAAGGCUGAAGCCAGAAGUGUGUGUGAGCGAAAAAGGAAAGCCAUGGUUACUGCUAAUCGGUACAUUGAUUCGCCAAGGUUUCUGGAUAUUGGGGUGAUAUUUGGACUCAAGAUUGGUCAUUACUUCAAGAUCAGUGUUUGUGAUAUUUGGGAUAUUUGAUUUGGCGCACGAUGUCUUUGAGAUCGAUUCUGGUCGAGUUAAUUUUCCGAGUUAUGCUGAUGAGUGUUCGGAAAACGACGAAGAUUGGUGUUCAGUCCCAUAAUAUGAUGAACAAAAUCUGCAUUGCAACUACAUAUAUGGGACUAAGAACUUCAAUAUUGAUGUCUUGAAGAUUGAUUUGGUGAGUGUUUGUGAAUCUUUUGAUGACUGUUGCCAAGUUACUGAUGAACGGAUAUUUGAUUUUAUUCAUCUUUCUUGUUAAUGUUUUGAUGAGUGUUUGAUAUGGGUAGAUUGAUAUGUUAAAGAGAGAACAGAGGAUUCUUCAAGGAGAAGUAGAACUUUUUAGUUAUGUCAAAUAUGCUGGAAACAACCUCUAUUUAUAGAGGUUCUCGUGUC